rnacentral:tRNA from 4 species
GGGCGGUUAGCUCAGCGGUAGAGCGCCUGCCUUACAAGCAGGAUGUCAUUGGUUCAAAUCCAAUACCGCCCA